UGGUCAUUUUCCACUUAUUCCCGCUUCCGCGGGUGAAGGGUGAAUUCUGGUUGGACAAAACGAGGGAGGAGAGAACUGCCGAUGGAGUGAGAGUUUGUUUUGUUUUUGCUCCAGCGAGUUAAUUCGGAUAUAGACAAUAUACCCACUAGCAAAGUGCGUUAAACGGUCUGUAUUUCGUUAAAGAAGUGUUAAUACUUGUAUUAAGUGGAUUAGUGUUUAUACUCGGUAAGAGAGUAAACGGUUAUGUUUUGUUUCGGAGUCUGAGGUAGAGCGCAGCCUGUCGCUAAGCUAACUAUCGGGACUAAGCUAAAAAAAAAAAGGAUUCUAUCUGACGGGUUUUCCAACCGGCUAACCGCCUAAGUGUUUAGUUAUUUAAAUUUCGGGACGGAGACAAGUUCAUGGAGCCGUUGUGACUGUAUAUCGGACGCGGAUUGGAUGUUGCUAUGCUAUGGUGAUACAGUAUCGUGUGGCUGCUGUUCAGGAGAGGAGGCCAUGAGACUACCUGAAUAUCUACGGCUGCAUCUAAGGGAAGUUCGCGUUUUAAGCACCUUGGAAGGCAAUCAGGUGAUCUAUUUAUUUUCUUUUAGCUCGUCAGAGCGAAGAGGCCAUUUGUAGUUUUAAAGGCCACCACGUUCCCCAGCAACGUUACAGGCCUGCAACAGGUGGGCCUGGAUGAGGCAGUUCGUAGUUGGGAAAAGCACAGAAGCAUUAACUCCUGGCUCUAAGGGAUCUAAGUUCAUAUGACGGCCAAUGCGUAAGCUCAGGUGUCCUCAGUGAAAUUGUCCUACAGCUGCUUGUUCCCGGAGGUCAGGAAAGUGUUCUGUUCUGCUGAUGGAGACAACCUGCACUUCAGCUGGACUUGUGAAUCAAACACUCGGUUGGAGGACGACAACAAAACCCUCGUACUGGAUAAAAUGCAUAUUAAAAAAGUCCCCUGUAAUGUCGAAUAUCACGUCAGUCAUGCCUAAAAUUCAACUGAAUUGCCAAAACGUACCAGUGAGUCUGUCUUUUUUUAAUAACAUUAGAAAAUAUUUCUUUUGUUUCUAUACUUCUGUAAAGCUGCUUUGAGACAAUGUCCAUCGUUGAAGUGCUUAUACACCUACAGUAAAUUGAAUUGAAAAUAAUGAAUUAAGCAACAGUUACAGUAAUUAACAGUCAUCAGCAUUAAUGUCACUACUCAUACCCUGGUAAAUACAAAGGCAAAACUGUGUGCUCAAAAGCUUUCAUGUUUUAACCUUUAAAAGGUUUUAUUCCUGAGAAAUAUUAUAUCCUGGGUUAGCUGAUGACAUCGCUAACACUGCUAUCCAGUGGCUUUUACCUAGUGACAACAUCCCCUUUAUAUUUUAAGCCCACUGUAAUGCUGUGAUUCUACAGUGGCAACAAUUUAAUAAAAUAUUAAAUAAGUCCUAUGUACUGAAUGUGUGAAUGCUGAAAUAAAAUCUGUUUGUUAUUAUUAAUGAUUUUAGUAUUUGUU